CUACUACUCCCGAGAGCCUUUGUUUGGCUCAGGCGUAGAGUUUCCUUUCCCAAGGGCUCCAGGCAGGCCCAGGACAGACAAAAGUGUAGCACAGUUUUCUGGGAAAUGUAGUUCCGGAGCCGUAGAGUGCUGGAGAGUGGCGCAGGUGGAAUUUGCCUGUCAGUUGGUCGGCGUCUUCAGCUUAGUCGGUUAACCUUUCUGAAAGAAAGGCCCAGGCCCCUGUUUCUAGGAAUACUGGCAGAAGUGGACGGUCCCUUGAGGGGCUUCCCCGCUGUCCUCCGGAGUCAAGCACCUGAGGGCGGUCAGUUUGGGCCAUAACCUCUACCCAGCCACCUGUGUGCCAGACUCUCCCCUGUGGUGGCUAGCAUCCAGCAUGGCUCCGCUUGCCGCCCACAAAAAGGAUUGGCUUUGGAAACGAAGCCCAAGGCCCUCACUGAUAUCUUGAUUGCGACCUCAUGAGAAGCCCUCAGCCAAAACAGUACAUGUAGCUAGACAUGGGGUAAAA